UUCUAGCUGAAACAUGUUGGAAGGGUACUAUGGUUUUAGGGUGAGAUUUAUAAUGUUCAUGAUAGUGAUGAAGUUGAGUCUGUAAUAACUUCUUUUCAGGAGAACAUGGAAAGACUUCAAUUAGAGCAAGUUAAAGAGAGUCACCUGCGUCGGAAACUGCCUCAGGAUCCCAUCCAGGAUACCUAAUUACAUUUGUUCAUCAUGUCCCCUGAAGUUCCUCCUGGUUGUUACAGUUUCUCAGACUUUUCGUGUUUUUGAUGACAUUGACUGUUUUGCAGAGUACUGAUCAGGUAUUUUGUAGAAUGUUCUUCAACUGGGAUUUGUCUAGUAGUUUUUCAUGAUACAUUUCUGGGAGGUGAUGUAUUUCCGGGAGGAAGACCAAAGAGAUAAAGUGCCAUUUUCCUUACAUCAUAUCAAGGAUACAUACGACUCAUAUGACUUACUAUUGAUGAUAACCUUCAUCACCCGACUUGAUGUAUGUUUGUCCGGUUUCUCCCUGUACACUUACCUUUUAUCCCUCUCUUUCUAUACUGUAUUACUUGAAAGAAAGUCACUAGCAUAGCCAGCACUUAUGGAGUGGGUGUUAUGCCCUACGUCCUUAAAAGCAGAGCAUCUAUGUCAGUUAUUUGGAAUUCUUUUGUACUGGAGAUUUGUUUCUUUUCCAUUUAUUUAUUUAGUCCGUCAUUUAUUUAUAACUAACCGAGUCAUGAACUUCUGCUUUGGGUUAUAAUUUAAUACCAUUUUACUUAUUUUGUUGUUCAAAUAGUUCUAGCUUUGGCCAUUAAUGAGCUCUUUAUGGCCGUUAGUUGGGCCUCGUAUCUCUUUGACAUAUUCCUGCCAUUGUUUUAUUCUGAAUUUCAUUUGUUUUUAGUACUUACUUUCUGGCACUACAAAUUUUCAGUGCUAGGUACGCUCAUUGAAACUGGGAUAUCACUGCUUCCAAGACCUCUUAAAUGACAGAGCAAGAAGAUAUUCUGUGCAUGUGUAUUCACUUACCUACAAAUGUUUCCAUGUGUAACUAUAUGCAUCUGUUUUAAGCUAAACAUCAGUUCUUACCAUAGGAACUUUUUUUUCAGCAUCCAGGAUUAUACAUUGCUCCUUAAAAACUAUGUUUUGUGGGUAUUUCUUGACGCUCUUCAAAAAUUUGUAUUGUGUGUCAUGUCAUGUUGCACUGGACUGUAGUUUUGCUACAAACAAAAAUAAAAAUGCUUUCUAAUA